CUAUACUCCCCAGAACCACUGCAGCUUAAUGUAGUGGUUCUGGUGUCUAUAGCCUGUACCUGCAGGCCUUUUAAUGUAAACACGGCGGCACUGCAGCACUGGCGUUAGAUAACAUGGCAAAUCAUAUGGGUGGGGCAUUGUGAUGUCACAUGGGGGGGCGGCAAACUUUACUUUUGCCUAGGGCGGCAAAAAUCCUUGCACCGG